UCCACAGCUAUGUUCUUCUCCUAUUUGAAUAUAUUUUAUAUUAAUGUUCAUUUAUUGAUAUUCUCUUAUUUAUCCUCUGAUACCUACUUGAAAUCUUGAUAUUUGAAAUUUUAUUCUAUCUACUGCUCUGCUAAUCAGAUUUUAUAGAAUUUUAGGAAAUUUUUUAGUCGAAGUUUUCACUUAUUUUAACAAUUGAUUUCUUAAUCAGAAUCUCUAAACCUGGAAGGGUUUCUAAGAACAAGAAUGUCUUAUGGUAGUAUGAACACACACGCACACACACAAACACAGCAGGAAGCCACCAUAAAGUUGAAUGAAUGUGACCUUAAUUUGCACGCUGAUUCUCAAAUUUUAAGGGAUCACAUUCCAUUCCAUUCCAACAGUUGUAUCACAUAUCCUGUUUUCCAAUAAUCAUGGUUUUGGAUGCUAAUCUUCUUAGCCAUGUUUGUAUUUUGUGUAAAGCUUGUUAUAAACAUUGACACUGAAAAAAUGAAUUUGCCUUAUGUUGUAAGCUUGGUACUGAAUUCUGUUCCUUAUUUAAAAUUGGCACUUGCUUUGACACACAUUUACAAUUAAGAAUCCAAUACAGACUACGAUUUAACCGUGGAUGAUAUUUUUAUAACUUCCAACACAAAUAAAUAUGGUGGCCAUGUUUUUUUCUUCUGAGACGUUAUGCACAUCAUGAUGUUUUUUAGUAUAGUAGAUACAGGUGAACAAGAAAAUCCUAAUAUUGAUAACCACAUAUUUAUUAACAGAAAUCCAUUUCAUUCUCUGUAAUCAUAUAUAUUGUUGUCCUCGUGUAAACUUAGUUUUUAACAUUGUUGAUGUUGCAACCCCUGUUACGGUGUCCGUGGCAGUUCCAGUUAUGGAAGUUCAGAACUCCUAAAUGGGAUUUCUGAAUAAUGGACUUUGUUUUUUUGGUGUCUCCAUUAUAUGUCACAAAUAAUAACAUUAUUAAUUGUUUCUGAAGCAUGAUCAGUGUUUUGUAAGUAUUAGUUAGGCACCUUUGGUUAAGUUUGUCCAAUUUUUAAUGCUUAAGCGAGCAAUUUCACUAGAUCAGAUGGACGUGUUAUGAAGAACAUAUUACAGCCUUCUUCGCGCCUUCCGUUAUGGCAGACUUGAGAUGUUUGCAUUUCUCUAUAAGAAGUCAAUGAAGAUAUUGAAAGUGAAGCAGAUCGCAGGGCAUUUUAUUAGGAGGAGUAUAAAAAUCAUCAAAGCACUAUGCUUCACAUGGCUGUUAUUUCUGGGCAUUUCGGUGAGUUCCUUUGUGGAAAGCAUUUCUCAAAGAAAAUGUAAAAUAUGAAUUGGCUUCAAAACUUGCCAACUUCUUAGUUGAAAAAGUCAAUAUUUCAUGGAAGGACACUAGGCCUGUAGAAGAGUCUUGCCAAGAGCUACCGGAAAUAAUAGUUCAGGAAAAAGAUGGAGGAGGGCCAUCCACAGUUUCCAAUCUUGAAGAGGUAAAGAACGUGCAGAAAGUAACCCCAAGAAACAAUCCGGAAACACCAUUGUUCUUGGCAACUAAGGCAGGUUGUGUGGACAUUGUUGACAAAAUACUCGACUUGUACCCUCAGUCGGUUAAGCAUGUUGAUGUCAAUGGGUGCACCAUUUUACAUAUAGCCAUCAUGUACCGCCAAUUAGAGAUCUUUGAUAAGGUGGAGAAAAUGAGAACUCCAAUUAGGAAGCUGACACAAGACAGACAAAGAUUGGAAUUCCAUUCUGCACAUGGUUGGAGAGAAGAGAGAAUAUGCUGUUGAACAGAGCAUUCGGAAUAUGGUUGGAGAUAAUAGAAAAUUUCAUAAAUUGAAGAGACAAAACAAAAUUCUGUUAUGCAAUUGCAAGAGGAUCUGCUCUUGUAUGAGAGAAUAAAAAAAAUCUGCUCAGAGCAUUUCUUCAACCAUAUCAACGCAAAAGGUCAAACUGGCGAAGAACUAUUUGCUCUGAAGAGUGAAAAACUUCACAAGGAGGCCAAAGAAUGGCUAAAGCGUACAUCAGAAAAUUGUUCCAUUGUUGCUGUUCUCAUUGCCACUGUUGCCUUUGCCGCGGCCUGCACAAUACCAGGAGGUUCAAAUGAAGAAACAGGUGUUCUCAUUCUUCUCAACCAACCUUUGUUUGUCAUCUUCACCAUCACCGAUGACCUUUCUCUUACAUGCACAUUAACUUCAUUAGUCAAUACUCACGUCAGCUUUUUGCUUAAAAGACUUCAAGCACUCUCUUCCACAAAAACUAAGCUUCAAUACUCUCUUCUCAGUGUCAAUGAUCAUGACAAUUAGUGUACCAAGAUCCCUUGCACUUAUCUCUGAUUCUCUGCUACUAUUUCUUACCAUUAUCGCUUAUUUUUUUACACCUCACAUGGAAUCACAAUUUGAAGACUUACAAUGCAAGACACGCUAUGUUUGUUUGAGCGUAAAACACUUUCUGAAAAACAUUUUCUGUGUUUUCUGUUUGGUAGUUCCAAAUUCAAAUAAAAUCUUUUACGGAGAAAAAUAAUUUCUCAAAACUUAACCAAAAUAACUUACACAUUAAUCCUUCGGAAAUCGAUUUUCGAGUCUAUCUAUUUCACUCUAGAUCUCCUCAACAAAAGCAUAAGGCAUCGAAAACGUCAAUCAAGUAUGUAGAAGAGUUACAUAGUGGCCAAAAAGCCGUCUAGAGAGAGAGAGUUUAGAGAGAGCAAGAGGGCUUCUAUAGAGAGAAGGAAAGGAGCCCUUUAAUAAAGAUAGAGUUUUUGGAGAGAGAAAGAGAUGAGCCAAUAGACCAAUACCUAUUGUGGGGCGAGAGGCACGAGGCCAAUCUAUUCUUUAACAACAAUCAUACAAUUUCCUAUUUUUGAUUUAUUCAAUUUGCUUUUAUUAUUAUAUUUUUUUGUCAUCAUUAUUGGCUUAGUGAUUAACAUGUAGUAUUACUUUCUCAAACCUUAAAAAGUGAUAUGUAAAGUGGAGAAAAAAAAGAAGAGAUUAGACUUGUUUCAGUUUCCUUAUCAUUUUUUUCAAAAAUCAAUUGAUUAUAUUUUUAUUGUUGAUAUAAAAAAAAUUGGACCAAUUGAUAGUAAGAGAAAAUUUGAAUAAUUAAUGACUCAAAUAAGAAUUUUGAUUUUAAUUAAAAAAUACUUUUAGAAGUCGACACCAAAAAUAUUUUCUGAAAAAUAUUUUCAAAACCUUUGCCAAGCAAUGGAAAAUAAAAAAUAAAGAAAACAUUCUACAUGAAAAGUGUUACUUAGAAAACAUAUUACAAGAAAAAUAUUUUAUGCUCAAACAAACGGAACCGUAAUGUAGGCUCAAGAAUGCAGAGAAGAAAGAAGAAAACAGAAUUCUGAAAAGGGCAGAAAUCUCGUGUUGCUAAUGGGGUGGCACAUGCUUUGGCAAUAGUUGGUAGACAACUUAGGGAGCAUUUCCACGUGCUUGAGGGUCUGCUAGGUCACAUUGCUAGGGAAGUUAGAGUUGGAUUGUUCUUGAUUCUAUUUACUAAAAAUAAAAAAUAAAGAAAACAUUCUACAUGAAAAAGUGUUACUUAGAAAACAUUUUACAAGAAAAAUAUUUUACGCUCAAACAAACGGAACCAUAAUAUAGGCUCAAGAAUGCAGAGAAGAAAGAAGAAAACAGAAUUCUGAAAAGGGCAGAAAUCUCAUGUUGCUAAUGGGGUGGCACAUGCUUUGGCAAUAGUUGGUAGACAACUUAGGGAGCAUUUCCACGUGCUUGAGGGUCUACUAGGUCACAUUGCUAGGGAAGUUAGAGUUGGAUUGUUCUUGAUUCUAUUUACUAAAAAUAUUUGUUGCUUUGCUAAGUGAACAAUAAAAAAUGGUUGCCAAGGACAUUUAUAGACAAAGAGGUGUAUGUUCGGGUAUUCAUGGUGCUGUUCGGUAGGCCCGAACUGCCAACAGCUGCAAUGUUUUGGAUGAACCAAAACACCCCAUGCCCAUUCGGAUAUAACCACCCAACCGCAACCGAUUUUCGGGACAGCCCACACACUUAACCAGGUCAAAAUCACUAAUUCUUUUUAUUAAAAUGAAUAGUUUUUUUUUUUUUUUUUUUUUUUUUUUUUUUUUUUUUUUUUUCGAACUGUUAUCGAGUAAAUAACGAAACAAAAGUGAUCAAUUAUAAAAUGGAUAAUAAUAUGACAAAGAAUUGUUAUUAUUAUUAUUUUAAUAUUGUAGGUUUAUUCUUAAUUUUACACAUUUCUAACAGCUUUUAUUCAAUAUUAGGUACAUUUUGGUAAUUGCAAUACGGUCACAUGUAUUUCUCCAUAAUUUUAACAAAUGAAAAAUUGUUAUGAAUUCGUGAAUUGAAUUUGAGGAUUGACAAAAUUGAAUUCACGAAUUGCAGAAGGAUUUGCUCUCAGAGCGUCAUUCACGCACGGAGCGUGGGAGCCGCACCCCUUCAAAAGGAUUAUGUGACUUUGCCCUCUACACUGUAGGGUUUUCGACGUAAAUUUUGUUGCCCCUUGUUUUGCUCGCAUUAUUUAUUUAUUUACCACUAGAAUUGACCUUUGAGGAUGUGAAUUAAUUUUAAGAGUGGUCAUUUUGAUUAAAAUAACACCAGAGUUUAAACGUAUCUCUAAACUUUUCCUCCCAGGACUCGUGUAGAUAGACCAAUAGUAACUGCUCCUUAAUUUCAAAAAGUACAAGAGCGCCUUCUGAAAUUCAUUGCAGAGAAUUGGGUGACUGUUUAAAAAGAAAAAGAAAAAGAAGAAGUUACAACCCCAAUAAUGAUUGCAAAAGCAUUGCAGUAUGGAUUCUCACAAUGUGAAGUGCAUGUUCAUCACAGAGCUUCUCAUUUUUUCAUUGCUUUAUCCUUUAUAGAUGAGCAACAAUGAUAAAUGAUAUGAUGUUAAGGAAUCCUCUGUUUUGUGAAUAAUCUUAGUUUCCGAUGCUAAUCUUUCAUUGUGUUUUCGUACAAAACUUUGUCAUAAACAGCGAUAGUGAAGGGACAAAUUUGAUUAUGUUGUAAGUUAAGGACUAAAUUCUGUUCCUUGUUUCAUCAUGGCACUUGCUUUAAAUAGGUUACAGUGAGAACCCAUUACAGAUAAGAAACUGCAGAUUGACAUGUCCAGCACAAGAAAAAAGGUGAUCUUGUAUUUCAUUCUGAAAAAUUAUGUGCAUCACGAUGUUUCUUAGUAGAUAUGACACAUUUACAGUGAUCACUUUGUUGAUUCAAUCUCAUAUAUCUGUUAAAUUCCAUAAAUCAUUUCAUUCUUUGUAAAUCUUAUACGUUAUGGAAGUUUACAGCUGUUAAAUGGGAAUUCCCAAAAAUUGUUUAUGGUGUCUUUGAUGUCCUCAAUAUAUAUUAGUGGUAAUUAACUAUAAUAGCAUUAUGUGACCUUCAGAAGUAGCUCAUGGAAUAUUAUGUUGGUAACAGCCCAAGCCUUCAUUUUGUUCCUAGUACAUAUAUAUAUGUCUCAAUCCUUUUCUCUUUUUUGUUUCAAGUUACAAGAUCUAUGCUUUCUUGGUCAAAUAAUAUCAUAAACAGAAAGUUAAAAGUGCGAUCUGUUACAUUACUGUACGUAUAUCCUUUAUUCCUAUAUAACUUUAUUCUAGCUAGCAUUAGAAAAGUUAUGAGGGCCUGAGAAUAAAAAAAUGCUUCCUCAUGAACAUUGCAACAUUAACGAGAAAUUAAUGUUUCACAUUUGAACAAAGUAGUCAGAAUUAAACCACUUUAUUAUUAAAUGAAGUAAGAAUAAUUACUUUAAAAAGAUGCCAGCAGGCCAAAGUGGAAUCACAGUACGUACAGUGGCACUUGCUUAGAUGUUUACCGAAUUGAUUUUACCUGUUUGUGCGUGUCUAUAUGUACAGUAUAUAAAUAGACAUUGACAAGCACGCGUGUGUAUCUAUGUAUGUUUUCAUAAUCUCAUUCUACCACGUACAUCCGGCAAAUGGUGCAAUCUCAAUCUGCCAUUGAACUAAGAUAUGAUGUUAGUAUGACAGAAGAUGAGCCUAAUGCUCGGCUUUACGAGGCUCUAAAGAAGGAAAAAACUAGAGAUGUGGUUGAACUCUGCGGAGACGGUGAAAAGUAUCCAGAUGGUCCAUUGCACGUCCUAACCAAAACUGGUGACACAGUACUACAUAUGGCAGCAUACACUGUGCAAGCUGACUUGGUAAUUGAAUUGCUAGGGAUGUUGACUGGGGAUCAGCACGGCAAAUUGAUCUUUCAAAAUUCUGUUGGAAACACAGUCCUCCAUGAGGCAGCCGCCUUCAACAAAUUAGUCCCAGCUGCUGAGAAAAUGCUAUAAAUGGCACCCCAGUUGUUAAGUAUGCGCAACAAAUUUGAAGAGACGGCUCUGUUCCGUGCAGCUUACUAUGGAAAAAUUUAGAUGUUCGCAAUUCUUGAUAGGGAAGUUCGGGGAAGCUGCCCAAGUAAAGAAGAGCGCACGACUACAUUUUAUAAGAAGGAGAACAAUAGCACCAUACUUCACACUGCGAUUAUCUCAGGGCAUUUUAUUGAGUUCCUCCUGGCUCUUAGCAGCUAAUUUCAUCAUCUUUCAAUCUCAUCGGGCUUUAAAUUUGAGUUUGGUACUUGCAUUUUGGAUUUGGUAUAUAUGAUGCAUGAUUUUUUGGCAUAUAUAAUUAAGCUAUAGAAUUGCCUGAUCGGCUUUAUAAAUUAAGUUACCUGGUUUUGUUAUUCGUUGCUGCUUCUUUUUCUAAAUUUUUCUUUUUUACAACUAACAUUGCAAAUAUAUAUAGAUAUAUAUAUAUAUAUAUAGAUAUAUAUAUAUACACUUUGAAAUAUGAACAGAAUUGGCUGUUAGAAUUGCGAAAAGGUGUGACUAUUUAGUUGGUGAAAGAGAUGAAUUUGGGUUGACUGCUCUUCAAUAUCUUGCAUGUAGUUCAUCGGCAUUUAAAGCGAGGAAUGUAGGACACCUGAAGCGUCUUCUCUACAAACGUGUACAUGUCAAAGAAGAUUCCACUCCAGUAUUACGAGAAGAAUAUGAUGCAGGGGGUUGGAGAGUGCCUUUGUGGGAAGAAAUUAAGCAGGAAAAGCUAACAUAUGAAUUUGCUAAGAAACUUUCGAAAAUCUUAGUUAAGAAAGAUGCUCCAUCAUGGGAUAAAACUAAACAUGUUGAAGAGUCAUCCCAAAACUCAUGGGAUAAAACUAAACAUGUGGAAGAGUCAUCCCAAAACCAUGGAAGACGGCCAUCAUCAGCUCCCAUACAGGGCAAAGAGAUAAGGAAUGUCGUCAAAGCACCAUUAGUUUUGGCAAUUAAAGCAGGGUGUGUGGACAUUGUCAUGGAUAUACUCGACUUGAACCUUCAGGCAGUUGAGUUUGUAGAUGGUGAUGGGUGCACCAUUUUACAUUUAGUGACAAUUAGAGAUCUUUGAUAGGUUGGAGAAAAUGGGAGCUCCAAUUACCAAGCUGAUGCUAAAAAGGGACUACCAUUGGAAUAGCAUCCUACAUAUGGUUGGAGAAAAGAAGGAAGAUUCCAUGGUUUUUGAAAAGACCAACCGCAACCCUCAUCCAAUUGCACCAGGAUUUGCUCUUCUUUGAGCUUGUAAAGAAAAUGUUGUCAGCAUAUUCAAUCAAUUUAAACUUGCUCCGAAACAAUGAGGGGCAGACUGCUGAAGAACGAUUUGUUGAGAACAAAGAAGAUCUUCGGACGGAGGCUACGCAGUGGCUAAAGGGGACAGCACAAAAUUGCUCCAUUAAUGCUCUGCUGAAUGCAGCUACUGCUUUUACUGCGGCCUAUACAGUACCUGGAGGUUUAGAUCAACAAACAGGUUAUCCGAUUCUUCUCAACCAACAUUUCUUUGAUGUUUUCCUCAUCGCGGAUACCCUUUCCCUCACAUGCACUUUCAUAUCAAUAGUUGUAUUUUUGUCCAUCCUCACAUCCCCAUUUCGCUUUAGCGACUUCAAGCAUUCUCUUCCACGAAAACUAGUGCUAGGACUUAUAAUUCUAGUAAUUGCUGUGACAAUGCUAACGCUGGCAUUUGCAGCGUCCAUAUUUCUUCCGAUAAGUAAGAAUGAGCGAUGGACAAGAAUUGGCUUAAGUAGUGUCGCCUUCCUCCAAUUCACGGUCUUGUCAAUUUCAUUGAUGCCUUAUUACCUAAUACACCUUGUCAAAGUUUUCACCCACACCAUCCACCAAAUUGAACCGGCUUUUCCUCGGUAUACUGGUUUAUUUAGUAAAUUUGAAACCAAAAUUUUGAGUUAUAUUAGUAAUGCCAAAACCAAAUUUAUGAGUUUUAUUGGGAAGUCCGAAACAAAAGUUCCCCAUCCCGGCUCUGUUGUUUGAAAAGCCAAGUGAAGAUGAUCUCAUUUAGUACUCUCCAUCUUCUAAACACUUUUGUUGAUUAUUAUUGUUGAGUGAUUACUAGUACUGUUCUGUUUUCUAGAUUUCAAGUGCGGUCGCAAGUAAUUUCUUUUAAUUACAGUGUGUUGAGAGUGAAUCCAAGCAAUGUACACUGUGAUAUAUCAUAAAUAGCACUGGUUUGUGUUAUGUGGUUUGCACUCGUCUGUGUUUCCCUUUAAUAUUAUCUCGAAUUAUUUUUCA